GAUGAACGCUGGCGGCGUGCCUAAUACAUGCAAGUCGAGCGAAUGGAUUAAGAGCUUGCUCUUAUGAAGUUAGCGGCGGACGGGUGAGUAACACGUGGGUAACCUGCCCAUAAGACAGGGAUAACUCCGGGAAACCGGGGCUAAUACCGGAUAACAUUUUGAACCGCAUGGUUCGAAAUUGAAAGGCGGCUUCGGCUGUCACUUAUGGAUGGACCCGCGUCGCAUUAGCUAGUUGGUGAGGUAACGGCUCACCAAGGCAACGAUGCGUAGCCGACCUGAGCGGGUGAUCGGACACACUGGGACUGAGACACGGCCCAGACUCCUACGGGAGGCAGCAGUAGGGAAUCUUCCGCAAUGGACGAAAGUCUGACGGAGCAACGCCGCGUGAGUGAUGAAGGCUUCCGGGUCGUAAAACUCUGUUGUUAGGGAAGAACAAGUGCUUGUUGAAUAAGCUGGCACCUUGACGGUACCUAACCAGAAAGCCACGGCUAACUACGUGCCAGCAGCCGCGGUAA
rnacentral:rRNA from 1 species